AUUGAACGCUGGCGGCAGGCUUAACACAUGCAAGUCGAACGAGUGGCGGACGGGUGAGUAAUGCUUGGGAAUCUGCCCGAUAGAGGGGGAUAACUCCUGGAAACGGUGGCUAAUACAGCAUACUAUCGGAUGAACCCAUAUGGGAUUAGCUAGUAGGUGGGGUAAAGGCUCACCUAGGCGACGAUCUCUAGCUGGGCUGAGAGGAUGAUCAGCCACACUGGGACUGAGACACGGCCCAGACUCCGACGGGAGGCAGCAGUGGGGAAGAUUGCACAAGGGGCGCAAGCCUGAUGCAGCCAUGCCGCGUGUAUGAAGAAGGCCUUAGGGUUGUAAAGUACUUUCAGCGGGGAGGCGUUACCCGCAGAGGAAGCACCGGCUAACUCCGUGCCAGCAGCCGCGGUAAUUC
rnacentral:rRNA from 1 species